GGAGAGAUGGCCGAGUGGACUAAGGCGCACGCCUGGAAAGCGUGUUGUCUCCCAAAGAGACACAUGGGUUCGAAUCCCAUUCUCUCCGCCA
rnacentral:tRNA from 1 species